CAUGAACGCUGGCGGCGUGCCUAAUACAUGCAAAUCGAGCGAACGGACGAGAAGCUUGCUUCUCUGAUGUUAGCGGCGGACGGGUGAGUAACACGUGGAUAACCUACCUAUAAGACUGGGAUAACUUCGGGAAACCGGAGCUAAUACCGGAUAAUAUUUUGAACCGCAUGGUUCAAAAGUGAAAGACGGUCUUGCUGUCACUUAUAGAUGGAUCCGCGCUGCAUUAGCUAGUUGGUAAGGUAACGGCUUACCAAGGCAACGAUGCAUAGCCGACCUGAGAGGGUGAUCGGCCACCCUGGAACUGAGACACGGUCCAGACUCCUACGGGAGGCAGCAGUAGGGAAUCUUCCGCAAUGGGCGAAAGCCUGACGGAGCAACGCCGAGUGAGUGAUGAAGGUCUUCGGAUCGUAAAACUCUGUUAUUAGGGAAGAACAUAUGUGUAAGUAACUGUGCACAUCUUGACGGUACCUAAUCAGAAAGCCACGGCUAACUACGUG
rnacentral:rRNA from 1 species